rnacentral:antisense_RNA from 1 species
GCCCAGGUGCCGCGUGCCGGGACGACAAGCGCGGGCAGCAGAGACGGCCCAGGUGGCAACAGAGACGGCCCAGGUGGCAACAGAGGAGAGAGUGGCAGCAGCAGAUCAAACCCCAAAGCCCCUGCCCUGGGUGGGUGCCAGCUUCCCUGAGACAUUCCGUGCCUGUGACAUUGCUGUGUGCAGAGAUGAACGAGCCGGGAAAAGCCACUGCACCCUGAAGAACUACAAUACGGUGGGGGUGGCAGAUGCCAAUCAAUGACACAGAUACCUAUUUAA